rnacentral:lncRNA from 1 species
CUGGAAACGCCGGCUCCCGGCUGCCCGGAAGCCAAGAAGAGGGAAAGACAGCGGGCCUGACCCCUCCCGGAUCGGGGAGGGCAGCAGCUGCCGAUCACCACCGGCUGGGGAGCCACAGAGCCAGGAAUCCCAAGCAGCUGGAGCACUGGGGGACACCCAGACAGAGCCUUCGCUGGACCAGGUCCUCCGGGAGCGAGAUGACGCUAUCGCCAAGAAGCGGGCCGUGGAGGCUGAGCUGGACACCUGCAGAGCCAAGCUGCGUGCUGUGGAGGCCCAACUGCUGGAAGUUCUGGAGGAGAAGCUGAGACUGAGGCAGGAGGUGGAGGCCUGGGAGGUAAGGUGGGUGUGCCGGCCGGGCCUGGGAGGCAGGGCCAGACAAGCACAGGCCUGGCCCCUGACCCUGCUCUCCUGGCCCCCAGGAGGACAUGCAAUGGCUGGUGAGGCAGCAGGUUGAGAGUCAGCUGCAGAGAGAGUCCCGGGGCGCUCCGGGAGCCCCCGCGGACCCUGGAACUGCCA